rnacentral:rRNA from 1 species
GGGGAAUAUUGCACAAUGGGGGAAAGCCUGAUGCAGCCAUGCCGCGUGUGUGAAGAAGGCCUUCGGAUUGUAAAGCACUUUCAGCGAGGAGGAAAGGUUGGUAGCGAAUAACUGCCAGCUGUGACGUUACUCGCAGAAGAAGCACCGGCUAACUCCGUGCCAGCAGCCGCGGUAAUACGGAGGGUGCAAGCGUUAAUCGGAAUUACUGGGCGUAAAGCGCACGCAGGCGGUUGGAUAAGUUAGAUGUGAAAGCCCCGGGCUCAACCUGGGAAUUGCAUUUAAAACUGUCCAGCUAGAGUCUUGUAGAGGGGGGUAGAAUUCCAGGUGUAGCGGUGAAAUGCGUAGAGAUCU